UGAGUUGUUCGGAUGAUCGCGGCACAGCAAUGUGCUGAGGAAAGUCGGGGCUUCUCAGGGCAACACGCUGGCGAGAGCCAGGUUGGGGCGACCUAACGGACGUGCAACAGAGAACAGACCGCCGAUGGCUGCGCAAGCAGAUCAGGUAAGGGUGAAACGGUGCGGUAAGAGCGCACCAGCAUAUGAAGCGAUUCAUAUGGCUUGGUAAACCCCGUGUGAAGCAAGAUCAAGCAGAAGGCUGGGCUGCCCGCCUGCCGCAAGGCAACCUUCGGGUAGAUCGCAUAGAGGGAUGAUCAUCCAUUGCGCAAGCAAGGACAAAACCCCGCUUACAGAUCAACUCACCGU
rfam:Actinobacterium acAcidi AMD-COM-C1946, whole genome shotgun sequence.